rnacentral:sRNA from 1 species
UCCAUCUGACAUAAAUAUGAUCCAAGGAAACUACGGACUCCUUCCCGAACUGCCUGCUGUUGGAGGGAAUGAAGGUGUUGCACAGGUCAUAGCGGUGGGCAGCAAUGUGACCGGGCUGAAGCCAGGAGACUGGGUGAUUCCAGCAAAUGCUGGUUUAGGAACCUGGCGGACCGAGGCUGUGUUCAGCGAGAAAGCACUGAUCCAAGUUCCGAGUGACAUCCCUCUUCAGAGCGCUGCCACCAUGGGUGUCAAUCCCUGCACAGCCUACAGGAUGCUGAUGGACUUCGAGCAACUGCAGCCAGACCUGAUAUCCAGAAGCUGAGUGACAGACUGAAGAGCCUGGGGGCUGAGCGUGUCAUCACCGAAGAGGAGCUAAGAAGGCCCGAAAUGAAAAACUUCUUUAAGGAGAUGCCCCAGCCACGGCUUGCUCUCAACUGUGUUGGUGGGAAAAGCUCCACAGAGCUGCUGCGGCAGUUAGCGCGUGGAGGAACCAUGGUAACCUAUGGGGGGAUGGCCAAGCAGCCCGUCAUAGCCUCUGUGAGCCUGCUCAUUUUUAAGGAUCUCAAACUUCGGGGCUUUUGGUUGUCCCAGUGGAAGAAGGACCACAGUCCAGACCAGUUCAAGGAGCUGAUCCUCACACUGUGCGAUCUCAUCCGCCGAGGCCAGCUCACAGCCCCAGCCUGCUCCCAGGUCCCGCUGCAGGACUACCAGUCUGCCUUGGAAGCCUCCAUGAAGCCCUUCAUAUCUUCAAAGCAGAUUCUCACCAUGUGAUCAUCCCAAAAGAGCUGGAGUGACAUGGGAGGGGAGGCAGAUCUGAGGGGCUGGGUGCAGUCCUCUCAGUUGGGGCUCCCACCUUCCCCAGACUACUGCUCUCCUCAGUGCCUCUUCCUAUUAGGAGGAUGGUGAAGCCAGCCAUGGU